AUUGAACGCUGGCGGCAGGCCUAACACAUGCAAGUCGAACGAGUGGCGGACGGGUGAGUAAUGUCUGGGAAACUGCCUGAUGGAGGGGGAUAACUACUGGAAACGGUAGCUAAUACCGCAUACCAUCAGAUGUGCCCAGAUGGGAUGAGCUAGUUGGUGGGGUAACGGCUCACAAAGGCGCCGAUCCCUAGCUGGUCUGAGAGGAUGACCAGCCACAAUGGACCUGAGACCCGGUCCAGACUCCUACGGGAGGAAGCAGUGGGGAAUAUUGCACAAGGGGCGCAAGCCUGAUGCAGCCAUGCCGCGUGGAGGAAGAAGGCCUUAGGGGUGUAAAGUACUUUCAGCGGGGAGGCGUUACCCGCAGAAGAAGCACCGGCUAACUCCGUGCCAGCAGCCGUGGUAAUAC
rnacentral:rRNA from 1 species